GUGUCAGCAGCCGCGGUAAGACGAGGGGUCCUAGCGUUGUUCGGAAUCACUGGGCGUAAAGCGUAUGUAGGCGGGUUUUUAAGUCGGGUGUGAAAUCCCAUGGCUCAACCAUGGAAUUGCAUUCGAAACUGGAAAUCUUGAGUGUGGGAGAGAUUGGUAGAAUACCUGGUGUAGUGGUGAAAUACGUAGAUAUCAGGUGGAAUACCGGUGGCGAAGGCGGCCAAUUGGCCCAACACUGACGCUGAGAUACGAAAGCGUGGGGAUCAAACAGGAUUAGAAACCCCGGUAGUCC
rnacentral:rRNA from 1 species